AUUGAUUGUUUGAGUUCAGUUAACAGACUUACCACGAAGAACGACGGAAAACGUUAGUUGUUUAGAAAAAUAAAAUAAAUAUUUCAAUUGCGUCCGAUUUAUAACCCUUAUUAUAGGAAAAUCUCAAGUAUUGUCUCUGACAAGUCCUCCAGAUAUGAAUAUGGAUCUUACAGCAGAGUGAGUGGAUUGCAAACCACUGAGGCAGACGAGUCUUUGAUAUCCACAGAGAUGAAGGAAAUGGCAGUUGCCUGUCAGCCUGAUCAAGGUUUUCUUAGGCUUUUGAUGAGGCACCUUUUAGCAGUCCGAGGCUCAGAGCCAUUUGCCUCUGGUCUCGUUAAACGCAGCCAUGAUGUGGGUCAAACACGUAUAUCUGAACAUGAAUUGUUCACAGCUGCUUCUUCACAGCCAUUACAUUUUGAGAUUUUUUUUUGUAAUGUCUACCGUUUUAGUGAUUCCAGUGAAAUCAGAGACCAAAUAGGGCCUUUUCAACAUAUUGUAAAAGCAUUUUUCACUUAAAGAUGAUCAAAUGUGAGGCACUUUGACAAACUGAUGAAAUUUCUUGCCUUUCAUCUCCCUAACAGGCUUGAGGUCUUUCUUUCUUGUGCUCUUGUUCUCUUUCCCGCUCUGUCUGUGUCAUUAAUUAUUAAAUAUCAGCGAAAGCCUAAUUACAUCUGAACAGUGUGACGCCAUUAAGUAAAUUGUCUGAAAAAUUGGUACAGCGCAGAGCUUUCUCACUCAGUGGCUGCUAUCUGAAAGACGUCCAUCAUCUUUCUGAAGAUACGGUAUCAUUCUUAAUGGACCGUUUUCUAUCUCACUGACACUUAGUCGCCAUUUCUGAAAUUGGAAAAUGUGAAAUGUUUCAAAUGUGAA